rnacentral:lncRNA from 1 species
CCCAUGCAAAGGUAUAAGAUUAGAUCUUAUUCCUUAUAUUUUAGAUUUUUCAGAUCUCUAAAUCUUAUCUCUCAUAUGAAGAAUCUUGUUUAGAUAUUCUGUAAAUUAGAUCUAAUGCAUGCUAAUUAGAUUAAAAAAAAUUUAAUCUAGUUUUCUACUACAUUUUAAUUUUAAAAUUUGCAUGCAGAAAAAUACUGAUUUUCUAAUAGUGGUAUUAGAGCCAUCUU